rnacentral:rRNA from 1 species
AUUGAACGCUGGCGGCAUGCUUUACACAUGCAAGUCGAACGGUAACAGGCCGCAAGGUGCUGACGAGUGGCGAACGGGUGAGUAAUGCAUCGGAACGUGCCCAGUCGUGGGGGAUAACGCAGCGAAAGCUGUGCUAAUACCGCAUACGAUCUAUGGAUGAAAGCGGGGGACCGUAAGGCCUCGCGCGAUUGGAGCGGCCGAUGUCAGAUUAGGUAGUUGGUGGGGUAAAGGCCCACCAAGCCAACGAUCUGUAGCUGGUCUGAGAGGACGACCAGCCACACUGGGACUGAGACACGGCCCAGACUCCUACGGGAGGCAGCAGUGGGGAAUUUUGGACAAUGGGCGCAAGCCUGAUCCAGCAAUGCCGCGUGCAGGAAGAAGGCCUUCGGGUUGUAAACUGCUUUUGUACGGAACGAAACGGUCUGGGUUAAUACCCUGGGCUAAUGACGGUACCGUAAGAAUAAGCACCGGCUAACUACGUGCCAGCCGCCGCAGUAA